GGUGAGUAAUGUCUGGGAAACUGCCUGAUGGAGGGGGAUAACUACUGGAAACGGUAGCUAAUACCGCAUAAUGUCGCAAGACCAAAGAGGGGGACCUUCGGGCCUCUUGCCAUCAGAUGUGCCCAGAUGGGAUUAGCUAGUAGGUGGGGUAACGGCUCACCUAGGCGACGAUCCCUAGCUGGUCUGAGAGGAUGACCAGCCACACUGGAACUGAGACACGGUCCAGACUCCUACGGGAGGCAGCAGUGGGGAAUAUUGCACAAUGGGCGCAAGCCUGAUGCAGCCAUGCCGCGUGUAUGAAGAAGGCCUUCGGGUUGUAAAGUACUUUCAGCGGGGAGGAAGGUGGUGAGGUUAAUAACCUCAUCAAUUGACGUUACCCGCAGAAAAAACACCGGCUAACUCCGUGCCAACAGCCGCGGUAAUACAGAGGGUGCAAGCGUUUAUCGGAAUUACUGGGCAUAAAGCGCACGC
rnacentral:rRNA from 1 species